CCUACGGGGGGCAGCAGUGGGGAAUAUUGGGCAAUGGAGGAAACUCUGACCCAGCAACGCCGCGUGAAUGAUGAAGGUCUUCGGAUUGUAAAGUUCUUUUCUAAGGGAAGAAGAAAGUGACGGUACCUUAGGAAUAAGCCUCGGCUAACUACGUGCCAGCAGCCGCGGUAAUACGUAGGAGGCGAGCGUUAUCCGGAUUUACUGGGUGUAAAGGGUGCGUAGGUGGCAGGGCAAGUCAGAUGUGAAAGCCCGGGGCCCAACCCCGGUACUGGAUUUGAAACUGUCCGGCUGGAGUGCAGGAGAGGUAAGCGGAAUUCCUAGUGUAGCGGUGAAAUGCGUAGAUAUUAGGAGGAACACCAGUGGCGAAGGCGGCUUACUGGACUGUAACUGACACUGAGGCACGAAAGCGUGGGGAGCAAACAGGAUUAGAUACCCUUGUAGUC
rnacentral:rRNA from 1 species